rnacentral:tRNA from 1 species
AGUUCCGUCGUCUAGUGGUUAUCACGCUCGUUUCACACGCAAGAGGCCCUGGGUUCGUUUCCCAGCGGAACCA